rnacentral:rRNA from 1 species
UACAGAGGUCUCAAGCGUUGUUCGGAUUCAUUGGGCGUAAAGGGUGCGCAGGCGGCAGAGCAAGUCGAGUGUGAAAGCCCCGGGCUUAACUUGGGAAUUGCGCUCGAAACUACUUUGCUGGAGUGUGGCAGAGGAAGGUGGAAUUCCACGUGUAGCGGUGAAAUGCGUAGAGAUGUGGAGGAACACCAAUGGCGAAGACAGCCUUCUGGGCCAACACUGACGCUCAUGCACGAAAGCGUGGGGAGCAAACAGG